rnacentral:rRNA from 1 species
CAAGUCUGGUGCCAGCAGCCGCGGUAAUUCCAGCUCCAAUAGCGUAUAUUAAAGUUGUUGCAGUUAAAAAGCUCGUAGUUGAAUUUCGGGAUCAAUAUAUCGGUCGUGCCUCUGGUACGUACUGGUAUCAUUGAUUUCUCCCUUCUGACGAACCAUGAUUUCAUUUAUUUGGUGUCAUGGGGAGUUAGGACUGUUACUUUGAAAAAAUUAGAGUGUUUAAAGCAGGCAUUAGCUUGAAUACAUUAGCAUGGAAUAAUGAAAUAGGACGUUUGACCCUAUUUUGUUGGUUUCUAGGAUCGACGUAAUGAUUAAUAGGGAUAGUUGGGGGCAUUAGUAUUCAAUUGUCAGAGGUGAAAUUCUUGGAUUUAUUGAAGACUAACUACUGCGAAAGCAUUUGCCAAGGAUGUUUUCAUUAAUCAAGAACGAAAGUUAGGGGAUCGAAGACGAUCAGAUACCGUCGUAGUCUUAACCAUAAACUAUGCCGACUAGGGAUCGGAUGAUGUUAAUUUUAUAAUGACUCAUUCGGCGCCUUA